GACGAACGCUGGCGGCGUGCCUAAUACAUGCAAGUCGAACGCAGUGGGGACGGGUGAGUAACACGUGGGUAACCUCCCAUCAGAGGGGAUAACACUUGGAAACAGGUGCUAAACCGAUACUGAUGGAUGGACCCGCGGUGCAUUAGCUAGUUGGUGAGGUAACGGCUCACCAAGGCCACGAUGCAUAGCCGACCGGAGAGGGGGAUCGGCCACACUGGGACUGAGACACGGACCAGAGUCCUACGGGAGGCAGCAGGAGGGAAUCUGGGGCAAUGGACGAAAGUCUGACGGAGAAACGCCGCGGGAGUGAAGAAGGUGUUCGGAUCGUAAAACUCUGUUGUUAGAGAAGCGGUAUCUAAACAGAAAGCCACGGCUAACUACGUGCCAGCCGCCGCGGUAAUAC
rnacentral:rRNA from 1 species